rnacentral:rRNA from 1 species
GAUGAACGCUAGCGGGAGGCCUAACACAUGCAAGCCGAGCGGUAUUGUUUCUUCGGAAAUGAGAGAGCGGCGUACGGGUGCGUAACACGUGUGCAACCUGCCUUUAUCUGGGGGAUAGCCUUUCGAAAGGAAGAUUAAUACUCCAUAAUAUAUUGAACGGCAUCGUUUAAUAUUGAAAGCUCCGGCGGAUAGAGAUGGGCACGCGCAAGAUUAGCUAGUUGGUGAGGUAACGGCUCACCAAGGCGAUGAUCUUUAGGGGGCCUGAGAGGGUGAUCCCCCACACUGGUACUGAGACACGGACCAGACUCCUACGGGAGGCAGCAGUGAGGAAUAUUGGUCAAUGGGUGCAAGCCUGAACCAGCCAUCCCGCGUGAAGGACGACUGCCCUAUGGGUUGUAAACUUCUUUUGGAUAGGGAUAAACCUACCCUCGAGAGGGUAGCUGAAGGUACUAUACGAAUAAGCACCGGCUAACUGCGUG